rnacentral:rRNA from 1 species
UACGUAGGUCGCAAGCGUUGUCCGGAUUUACCGGGCGUAAAGAGCGCGCAGGCGGCUGGUCAAGUCCGAUGUGAAAUCUCCCGGCUCAACUGGGAAACUGCAUCGGAAACUGAUCGGCUUGAAGAUGGGAGAGGGUAGUGGAAUUCCCGGUGUAGUGGUGAAAUGCGUAGAUAUCGGGAGGAACACCAGUGGCGAAGGCGGGUCUCUGGGCCGAUACUGACGCUGAGGAGCGAAAGCGUGGGGAGCGAACAGG